ACAUUAGUUGUUAGUCUCGUAGAGUUCUCGGUGAUUCUCGUAGGUUCUCGGUGAUUCUUGUAGGUUCUCGGUGAUUCUCGUAGGUUCUCGGUGAUUCUCGUUGGUUUUGUUAUGUUGUGAUGUGAUUACCUGUAGGCAAAGAAAGUAUUUUCUCUGAGAAGGAUUUCUGUUCAUUAUAAAUUAGUUGUUAGUCUCGUAGAGUUCUCGGAGGGUCUCGUAGAGUUCUCGGAGGGUCUCGUAGAUUUCUCGGAGGGUCUCGUAGAUUUCUCGGAGGGUCUCGUAGAUUUCUCGGAGGGUCUCGUAGAGUUCUCGGAGUUUAAUUUAGAAUUUUUGAAAUUUGAAAAGAGUAAUUAACCAUGCAAUACUUAUCUGUUUAUUCUGGUGGGUUGUUUUCACUCUCCAGGUCGUGGUUUUGAUGUACUUGCGGCUGUUGAUUCGUUCCAGUUGAUCAGGUGGAAGAGCUGAUGAUGAAGCGGCUGGGGUAAGGGCUUCUUGCAAUCCCACUUCUGAUGACGAAGGAGAAAUCUACGUGGUGUUUUGAAAAAGUGUGACGUCAUCAUUGCUGACGUCACAGUUGUUGUUCUCACGAUGGUCACCCAUUUUGGGGCUUAGAAAAACUUCACGAGUACUGUAAACUUAGUUUAUUCAACUCCCAGAGAGGUCCGUACUGUACGGCGAUCGGAGUGCAACUGCCUCGAUUGCCUACAGUGCGGGCGUAUUUAUAGGACUCGGCGCACGAGCACGUGCUUACAAGUUUUAGGUUAAGUAUUGAAAUUACAAUGAUAACGUUAAUUUUACAUCGUGUUAAACUUAAAAUAAUCAACUGAUGAUUAAUAAACUGAUUUUUAGGACAAUCAAGUGAAUUAACCAAACUUAUUCUACUUUCUCUGGAUAAUUGAUGUGGUUGCGCCGACAUAUACU